GCUCCCGUAGCUCAGGGGAUAGAGCAUCGGUUUCCUAAAUCGCAGGUCGGAGGUUCGAAUCCUCCCGGGGGCACCA
rnacentral:tRNA from 1 species